rnacentral:rRNA from 1 species
UACGUAUGUUGCAAGCGUUACUCGGAAUCACUGGGCGUAAAGCGUACGUAGGCGGACAUACAAGUCAGAAGUGAAAUUUCAGGGCUCAACCCUGAACCUGCUUUUGAAACUGUAUGUCUUGAGUAUCAGAGGGGUAGAUGGAAUUCUUGGUGUAGCGGUGGAAUGCGUAGAUAUCAAGAAGAACACCAGAGGCGAAGGCGGUCUACUGGCUGAAUACUGACGCUGAUGUACGAAAGCGUGGGGAGCGAACAGG